rnacentral:rRNA from 1 species
AAAAAGAACCUGAAACCGUGUACGUACAAGCAGUGGGAGCACAGGUUUACCUGUGUGACUGCGUACCUUUUGUAUAAUGGGUCAGCGACUUAUAUUCUGUAGCAAGGUUAACCGUAUAGGGGAGCCGGAGGGAAACCGAGUCUUAAUUGGGCGUUAAGUUGCAGGGUAUAGACCCGAAACCCGGUGAUCUAGCCAUGGGCAGGUUGAAGGUUGGGUAACACUAACUGGAGGACCGAACCGACUAAUGUUGAAAAAUUAGCGGAUGACCUGUGGCUGGGGGUGAAAGGCCAAUCAAACCGGGAGAUAGCUGGUUCUCCCCGAAAGCUAUUUAGGUAGCGCCUCGUGAAUUCAUCUCCGGGGGUAGAGCACUGUUUCGGCUAGGGGGCCAUCCCGGCUUACCAACCCGAUGCAAACUGCGAAUACCGGAGAAUGUUAUCACGGGAGACACACGGCGGGUGCUAACGUCCGUCGUGAAGAGGGAAACAACCCAGACCGCCAGCUAAGGUCCCAAAGUCAUGGUUAAGUGGGAAACGAUGUGGGAAGGCCCAGACAGCCAGGAUGUUGGCUUAGAAGCAGCCAUCAUUUAAAGAAAGCGUAAUAGCUCACUGGUCGAGUCGGCCUGCGCGGAAGAUGUAACGGGGCUAAACCAUGCACCGAAGCUGCGGCAGCGACGCUUAUGCGUUGUUGGGUAGGGGAGCGUUCUGUAAGCCUGUGAAGGUGGCCUGUGAGGGUUGCUGGAGGUAUCAGAAGUGCGAAUGCUGACAUAAGUAACGAUAAAGCGGGUGAAAAGCCCGCUCGCCGGAAGACCAAGGGUUCCUGUCCAACGUUAAUCGGGGCAGGGUGAGUCGACCCCUAAGGCGAGGCCGAAAGGCGUAGUCGAUGGGAAACAGGUUAAUAUUCCUGUACUUGGUGUUACUGCGAAGGGGGGACGGAGAAGGCUAUGUUGGCCGGGCGACGGUUGUCCCGGUUUAAGCGUGUAGGUGUGUGUUCCAGGUAAAUCCGGUUCACUUUAACACUGAGGCGUGAUGACGAGGCACUACGGUGCUGAAGCAACAAAUGCCCUGCUUCCAGGAAAAGCCUCUAAGCAUCAGGUAACAUCAAAUCGUACCCCAAACCGACACAGGUGGUCAGGUAGAGAAUACCAAGGCGCUUGAGAGAACUCGGGUGAAGGAACUAGGCAAAAUGGUGCCGUAACUUCGGGAGAAGGCACGCUGACACGUAGGUGAAGUGAUUUACUCAUGGAGCUGAAGUCAGUCGAAGAUACCAGCUGGCUGCAACUGUUUAUUAAAAACACAGCACUGUGCAAACACGAAAGUGGACGUAUACGGUGUGACGCCUGCCCGGUGCCGGAAGGUUAAUUGAUGGGGUCAGCGCAAGCGAAGCUCCUGAUCGAAGCCCCGGUAAACGGCGGCCGUAACUAUAACGGUCCUAAGGUAGCGAAAUUCCUUGUCGGGUAAGUUCCGACCUGCACGAAUGGCGUAAUGAUGGCCAGGCUGUCUCCACCCGAGACUCAGUGAAAUUGAACUCGCUGUGAAGAUGCAGUGUACCCGCGGCAAGACGGAAAGACCCCGUGAACCUUUACUAUAGCUUGACACUGAACAUUGAGCCUUGAUGUGUAGGAUAGGUGGGAGGCUUUGAAGUGUGGACGCCAGUCUGCAUGGAGCCGACCUUGAAAUACCACCCUUUAAUGUUUGAUGUUCUAACGUGGACCCGUAAUCCGGGUUGCGGACAGUGUCUGGUGGGUAGUUUGACUGGGGCGGUCUCCUCCUAAAGAGUAACGGAGGAGCACGAAGGUUGGCUAAUCCUGGUCGGACAUCAGGAGGUUAGUGCAAUGGCAUAAGCCAGCUUGACUGCGAGCGUGACGGCGCGAGCAGGUGCGAAAGCAGGUCAUAGUGAUCCGGUGGUUCUGAAUGGAAGGGCCAUCGCUCAACGGAUAAAAGGUACUCCGGGGAUAACAGGCUGAUACCGCCCAAGAGUUCAUAUCGACGGCGGUGUUUGGCACCUCGAUGUCGGCUCAUCACAUCCUGGGGCUGAAGUAGGUCCCAAGGGUAUGGCUGUUCGCCAUUUAAAGUGGUACGCGAGCUGGGUUUAGAACGUCGUGAGACAGUUCGGUCCCUAUCUGCCGUGGGCGCUGGAGAACUGAGGGGGGCUGCUCCUAGUACGAGAGGACCGGAGUGGACGCAUCACUGGUGUUCGGGUUGUCAUGCCAAUGGCACUGCCCGGUAGCUAAAUGCGGAAGAGAUAAGUGCUGAAAGCAUCUAAGCACGAAACUUGCCCCGAGAUGAGUUCUCCCUGAGACUUAGAGUCUCCUGAAGGAACGUUGAAGACGACGACGUUGAUAGGCCGGGUGUGUAAGCGCAGCGAUGCGUUGAGCUAACCGGUACUAAUGAACCGUGAGGCUUAACCUUACAACGCCGAAG